UUGCCAAUGAAUACAAGCGAUUUGGUUGCACGCUUGAAUUUGUUACAAACAAAUCUCAAGAGGGAUCACAAUUUUGCAGAGGGUUUGGUGGAAUUGGGGGUAUUCUUCGCUACCAGCUUGACAUUAGAUCUUUUGACGAGUUGUCUGAUGAUGGAGAAAUUUAUGAGGAUUCGGAUUAAGAAUUCAAAGGAUGAUGCAAAAGCCUAUAGCAGGUUGAUGGACCUUUGUUACUGCUGUUGCCUGGGACUUCACACAAAAAAAAAAAUUUCUUAUUUUGCUGCUUUUCAUUUGGAUAUUUAGAAUGUUUCCAUGAUUCCCCAUUUCAUUUUCUCCAUCAUCAGACAACUCG
rnacentral:misc_RNA from 1 species